UGCGGCGUGCUUAACACAUGCAAGUCGAACGGAAAGGCCCUGCUUUUGUGGGGUGCUCGAGUGGCGAACGGGUGAGUAACACGUGGGUAACCUGCCCUUGACUUUGGGAUAACUUCAGGAAACUGGGGCUAAUACCGGAUAGGAGCUCCUGCUGCAUGGUGGGGGUUGGAAAGUUUCGGCGGUUGGGGAUGGACUCGCGGCUUAUCAGCUUGUUGGUGGGGUAGUGGCUUACCAAGGCUUUGACGGGUAGCCGGCCUGAGAGGGUGACCGGCCACAUUGGGACUGAGAUACGGCCCAGACUCCUACGGGAGGCAGCAGUGGGGAAUAUUGCACAAUGGGCGGAAGCCUGAUGCAGCAACGCCGCGUGCGGGAUGACGGCCUUCGGGUUGUAAACCGCUUUCGCCUGUGACGAAGCGUGAGUGACGGUAAUGGGUAAAGAAGCACCGGCUAACUACGUGCCAGCAGCCGCGGUGAUACGUAGGGUGCGAGCGUUGUCCGGAUUUAUUGGGCGUAAAGGGCUCGUAGGUGGUUGAUCGCGUCGGAAGUGUAAUCUUGGGGCUUAACCCUGAGCGUGCUUUCGAUACGGGUUGACUUGAGGAAGGUAGGGGAGAAUGGAAUUCCUGGUGGAGCGGUGGAAUGCGCAGAUAUCAGGAGGAACACCAGUGGCGAAGGCGGUUCUCUGGGCCUUUCCUGACGCUGAGGAGCGAAAGCGUGGGGAGCGAACAGGCUUAGAUACCCUGGUAGUCCACGCUGUAAACGGUGGGUACUAGGUGUGGGGUCCAUUCCACGGGUUCCGUGCCGUAGCUAACGCUUUAAGUACCCCGCCUGGGGAGUACGGCCGCAAGGCUAAAACUCAAAGGAAUUGACGGGGCCCCGCACAAGCGGCGGAGCAUGCGGAUUAAUUCGAUGCAACGCGUAGAACCUUACCUGGGUUUGACAUGGAUCGGGAGUGCUCAGAGAUGGGUGUGCCUCUUUUGGGGUCGGUUCACAGGUGGUGCAUGGCUGUCGUCAGCUCGUGUCGUGAGAUGUUGGGUUAAGUCCCGCAACGAGCGCAACCCUUGUUCACUGUUGCCAGCACGUUAUGGUGGGGACUCAGUGGAGACCGCCGGGGUCAACUCGGAGGAAGGUGGGGAUGACGUCAAGUCAUCAUGCCCCUUAUGUCCAGGGCUUCACGCAUGCUACAAUGGCUGGUACAGAGAGUGGCGAGCCUGUGAGGGUGAGCGAAUCUCGGAAAGCCGGUCUCAGUUCGGAUUGGGGUCUGCAACUCGACCUCAUGAAGUCGGAGUCGCUAGUAAUCGCAGAUCAGCAACGCUGCGGUGAAUACGUUCCCGGGGCUUGUACACACCGCCCGUCAAGUCAUGAAAGUUGGUAACACCCGAAGCCGGUGGCCUAACCGUUGUGGGGGAGCCGUCGAAGGUGGGACUGGUGAUUAG
rnacentral:rRNA from 1 species